rnacentral:lncRNA from 1 species
ACAUCUAAAUUUGAACUGCUCACUCCCGCACCCUGAGUGCACCUAUCAGCAAAAGACGAAAUGCUGCCAUUUCCCACCUGAGCAAAUCCCAGCAAGGAUGCACCCGGUGGUAUUUAACGACCCUUCGAUGGCGUGGAACUGGGCCGUCUUUUGACAUAUUACUGUCCCCAUCGAGGUGAAUGGUCUCCAGUUAAUGAACGCAUCACUAGAUUUAGAACACACACAGAGUUGCUUACCAAUUCAUCAGUGAUUAACAACAAUCUUUAAGGUUAAAAAGAAAGCAUCAGGAUUAUCAGUAGAAUAAACACAAAAGUAAAUUCGAAAAUUUUAUCACAUCAAGUCAAUUCCAUUUUCUACAUGCCCAAAACAGUCUGAACACCUGUUUUUUACACUUUGUCACACCAGCUGUCAACGUGCUCUCCAAGUGUGGUGAGAGCUUCACAAAUUAAAGCUUGAAUUCAUUUUUGUAUCCUCUGGAACUAAUACCAUGCUUGGCACAUAACCCUGUGAAGGUUUGUCUAGGAAUGGCCAGAGGAACAGUUUGCAGCCAUUAGUGCUGUAGCUACAAAAAGUAUAAAACCAACUCCUGCCUUCCAGGUACUUAUAUUAACUAGUAUGUAAUUUUAUGUGAUUUACUGUAGUAAUUAGUAAGCUGAACUUGGCUGAGACAAAACCCAAAGACUUUAACUACUUUCGUUUCACCAAAAGCAGAACCCUGAGGGGAAGAAAAAAAAAAAAAAGAAUAUUCUAGCAAUAAUCCACCAAAAGGAAAUUCCCAAAGAAAUGGCAAAGAAACCCUCCUUUCAUCUUAAAUGUCUUUUUUCUUAUCCUUCCAAACAAUACCUAAAAAAUGAACUUAUGUUCAUUUUCAAUUUUAAGAGUGAUACUGUGUUUAUUUUGAACUGCUCACACUGGCAACAUUAAUGGCAUUUUGCUACACAGUGACAGGAAAACAGCAGUCACUACUCUUUGAAUAAAUAUAAACAGUUGGAAGAUGAUCCUAUUUCCUGAUGAGUGGCAACUUCCAGGUUGUUAGUUAAAUGCUAACAAAGGUUGUGAUAAGAAAGUAAAUGAAGAAAAGAUAGUUGACAUGAUGCUACCAUUACUUUUAAGUUUCCUUUCCUUACACAAGUCACCAGUAAAUCUCAGUCCUCAUCUGGAGAUAAAACCUACUUCACAGGGCUGUUAUGAUGAUUAAGUGAACACACACACAUCCAUCAGUGAAGUGUUUGGUCCCUACAUCAUUGCAAAGGCCCAUUAACUUGCCAAAUUUCGUAUACUAUGCGAUCCGGAACGAGUGUUUCACACAUUACUCUCCCCAAGCCAGCCAAAUGGUCAUGCGCUGGAGCCCUGCUGGAGCUGUAUUCCUGACACUACAUACUGUGCAGACAUAUAGAGAGUGUACGCACAUAUACAGCACAUGCACAGAGUGUCCACACAUACAAAGAUAGUUACAUGUGCACACAUAAUAUAGCCAUAUAUAUCCUUACGGUGGAUACACAUAUAGUUUAGUGUUCAUAUAUACAUAUUAUGCAGACAUAUACAGAGUGUAUGCACAUAUACAGCACAUGCAUAGUGUGUCCACACAUACAGAGAAACAGCCAUAUAUAUCCUUACAGUGGAUACACACGUAGUUUACACACAGUGUUCAUACAUAUAUAAUGCAGCAUGGAUACACAGCAUCUAUGGCAUGUAUACAUGCAUACACACAAUGAACAUAUGCACUAACAUUAACCAUAAUGUAUACACUAUGUACAUACAGAGUAUAUGCACAUCAUACAUGCAUAGAAUGUAUGUAUAUAUACAUAUAGUGCAUGUAUGAAAUAUAUGUAAUGCACACAUAUACACAUAUAGUGUAUUUUUAUAGCAUAUAUACAGUGUAAAUGCACACAAUGUACACAUACACAUGUGUGCAUGUAGUAUAUGUUAUACAUACAAUGUACAUGCAUAAACACAUAUAUAAUAUACAGGCCACAUAUGUGCAGAGUGGUUAUGGUAUCUGUGCAUACAUACAAAUGUGCACACAUAUGCACAAUAUUAAUUCUCCUGAUCCAUGAACACACUUUAUCUUCCCAUUUAUUUUGCCUUCCUGAGUUUCAAAGUCUUACAUUUACCACUGCCAGUUCCUUCCCUUCCUUGGCUAAAUUUACAUGUGCAGGUAUAAUACACAUGUACAUGGUACAGACACACGUGUACAAUGUAUGCAUGGUACCUAUGGACAUACAACACCCACAUAGUAUACAAACACACAUGUGCCACACACACAUGGUACAUAUGCAUACCUACAAGGCACAUACACCUAGGGUAUGAGAGUCUCUAGUUCCAUCCAUGUUGCUGCAAAUGGCAUUAUUUUGUUCUUUUUUAUGGCUGAGUAGUAUUCCAUUGUGUAUAUAUACUACAUCUUCCUAAUCCAGGAGCUUGGGAUAAUAGAUGCAGACUAUUGCCUCUGGAAUGGAUUAGCAAUGAGAUCCUGCUGUGUGGCACUGGGAACUAUGUCUAGUCACUUAUAAUGGAGCAUGAUAAUGGGAGAAAAUAGAAUGUAUACAUGUAUGUGUAACUGGGUCACCAGGCUGCACAGCAGAAAAAAAAAGGUAUUGAGGAAAUUAAAAAAAUAAAAAA